UACGAAGGGUGCAAACGUUGCUCGGAUUUAUUGGGCGUAAAGAGCUCGUAGGCGGCUUAGAAAGUCAGGUGUGAAAACUCUGGGCUUAACCCAGAGACGCCACUUGAUACUUCUAUGGCUUGAGUUCGGUAGGGGACCAUGGAAUUCCUGGUGUAGCGGUGAAAUGCGCAGAUAUCAGGAGGAACACCGAUGGCGAAGGCAGUGGUCUGGGCCGAUACUGACGCUGAGGAGCGAAAGCGUGGGGAGCGAACAGG
rnacentral:rRNA from 1 species